ensembl:misc_RNA 7SK 7SK RNA
GGAUAUGAAGAUGAUUGGGCUAUGACAUCUGUCACCCCAUUGAUUGCCAGGGUUGAUUCAGCUCAUCUAGCUGGCUAAGUUGACAUCCCUUUCUUCCUUUACCAUUCCAUGUGUAUCCAUACCAAAGUUGCAUGCUCAGUUGAAGAGGAUGAUGUUCUCUGAUAGAGGAAGACCACUCUGUCAAGAGUAUACAAGUAGCUGUUCUCCCCUGCUAGAACCAAGAAACAAACUCUCAAGAAUCAAUACCAUACUAUAUACUAAUAAUGGUCAAGAUAAGAACCAAGUCAAGAAGGCAAUCCCAUUUACAAUAAUGUUGAAU